AUAAAACCCUAUAGACUAUGGAUGCUGGAAAGCUCUGUAGUCGAAAGGUCCGCCGCCAUAGGAUGGGUCUGCGGCCGAUUAGGUUGUUGUUGGGGUAACGGCCCAACAAGCCUGUAAUCGGUACGGGUUGUGGGAGCAAGAGCCCGGAGAUGGAUUCUGAGACACGAAUCAAGGCCCUACGGGGCGCAGCAGGCGCGAAAACUUUGCAAUGCGGGAAACCGUGACAGGGGAACUCCGAGUGCCCGUUAAAUCGGGCUGUCCACCAGUUUAAAUAACUGGUGAAGAAAGGGCCGGGCAAGACCGGUGCCA
rnacentral:rRNA from 1 species